CGCGACCGCGUGCGCAGCAUCGGUGAGCAAAUCUGCAAUUAUGCCGAUGUCGAAGGCGACGGCUACAAUCCAUUCCGCAACCUGAAUGGACAGAUGAUUGCCAACAUUUCGACGCCGCGUCCCGGCGUCACCGAACCACGUGACGUGACGCGGGUCUUCAAGCUCAUCAGCGCACCGUGGACGAGAGCGAGGUUUGGUGACGUUGUUGGCCUUGCC
rnacentral:misc_RNA from 1 species